AAAACAUUUUGAAUUAUGAAUUUGAUAUGGUGGCAUCAGACCCAAGUGAUGCUAAUACGAAUAGUACUACUUUGUUCUCGGAUGACACUGAUGACAAGUCACGUAGGAGCACAAAUCCAGAUAUGGCAAUUGCUGCGACCCAUCAGGAAGAUGAGUCUGGUAUUGCCGCCGCACUUGUAGAGCCUCCUGCUGUUCAUACAGUGAAACAUCAGCCAGAUGUACCUGGAAUCAGUGAGCGUCGAACAGGGCAACCUUCAU
rnacentral:misc_RNA from 1 species